rnacentral:lncRNA from 1 species
UUUUUUUUUUUUUUUUUGUCUGAAGAAAAAAGCAAGAUUGAGGCCUGAAACAACCAAGUUAAUCUGCCUUUUCAUGCUAGGUAAUCUAGCUAAUCCUUAGAGAAAAUCAAAAGCUUAAUCCAAUCUGUUAGGGAAGGAUCAAAUACUGGGCAUUUAACCCUCAGUGGAACAGAAACCACACAUCUCAGGACAUAAUGGCCUUUUGUUUUGUCCUCCUAACGAGAAUAGAACCUACAAAAACAGAUAACCAGUGUAUGUAAAAUCCUCUAAAUCACAGCAGUUAGCAGCCAACAUCCAAUCACAGCUAAUAAGGAACCAUGUACCCCUGAUUUAGGCAACUUGAUCUAACAUGUAAAGUAGGCAAGAAGUCUCUGGUUAUUAUUGUUCUCAUGAGGGAGAUCAGGAAUACUAACACAAGGAUAGUGUUACUAACAUCUGUAAGUACCAAAAACCAAAUCUGCAUAAACAAGCUAGGUGACAGCAAAGUGACAAAAAUCUUAAACUAUAUAGAGAAAAAUGCACGCUGAAAUCUAGCUAUGUAUUUAUAUACACGCUGAAUUUAGUUCCCAAAUU